ACAUGCAAGUCGAACGAGAAAGGUUUCCCGGUAGCAAUACUGGGAGACCAAGUAAAGUGGCGAACGGGUGAGUAACACGUAGCUAACCUGCCCUUCAGUGGGGGAUAACCCCGCGAAAGUGGAGCUAAUACCGCAUAAUGUCCCUGGGGCACAGGCUCCGGGGAGCAAAGCCGGUAACGGCGCUGGAGGAGGGGGCUGCGGCCGAUUAGCUAGUUGGUAGGGUAACGGCCUACCAAGGCUCCGAUCGGUAGCCGGCCUGAGAGGGCGCACGGCCACACUGGAACUGAAACACGGUCCAGACUCCUACGGGAGGCAGCAGUGGGGAAUUUUGCACAAUGCCCGAAAGGGUGAUGCAGCAACGCCGCGUGGAGGAUGAAGGUCCUCGGAUCGUAAACUCCUUUCGACCCGGAAGAAGGCCCGGUGAUGAGCCGGGAUUGACGGUACGGGUGGAAGAAGCCCCGGCCAACUACGUGCCAGCAGCCGCGGUAAUACGUAGGGGGCAAGCGUUGUUCGGAAUUACUGGGCGUAAAGGGCGCGUAGGCGGUUCGGUAAGUCUCGUGUGAAAUCUCUCCGCUUAACGGGGAGGGGUCGCGAGAAACUGCCGGACUAGAGUGCGGAAGG
rnacentral:rRNA from 1 species